GCAACUCGCCUACACGAAGUUGGAAUUGCUAGUAAUCGUGGAUCAGCAUGCCACGGUGAAUACGUUCCCGGGUCUUGUACACACCGCCCGUCACACCAUGGGAGCUGGUAACACCCGAAGUCAGUAGUCUAACCGCAAGGAGGACGCUGCCGAAGGUGGGAUUAGCGGCUGGGGUGAAGUCGUAACAAGGUAUC
rnacentral:rRNA from 1 species